GGCAAUGCGCAUGUUGGCAGGGAGAGGAGAGGGAAGGUUAGCGCAGUGAGUGCUGCUGAAGGUCCUCCGGGCAGUCGUUACCGAUUCCAGGCAUGCCUCAAGCUGGCACAGCGAUGCCUUUCUGGGACACCUUGAAGAACAGAGGACUCAUCUAAGGUGGUCAUAUCUGGAUGCACUGACCUUACUCCUGGCAGAUAGCCACUCUCCUUACUCUGGCUCAACCAUGCUGCCCAUCAGAGAGCAAUGCAAUCUCACGUGGAGGAGAAGCACUACCAUCACACAGCUGGGCUUAAGGGCACUGAGGUCUGCACAUAGAGGAGAAUAUCCAUUAGUGAAGGUGGUUGUGAAGCCCUGGAGCACACCCUACCUUAUUUUCUCCCCAGCAAUACUUGUGCUGUACGUUAAGUCAUGCAAGUACAAAACACCCUCUCUCUGUCCCUGCACUGCCAGACCACAGUGGUCCUACGGAAACUGGCAGUGAGGAUGUGAUGUUGAAAGACGAUUUUGCUAUAAAUCAGUCCUUGAGGUGGCUUCAGAAACUAUUUUUGUGUUGCAUUCUGCUCAGUGGCGUGUAGACCGGAGUGCUUAAAAUGCACAUUUCUCUGUGUUUCCGCAAUAAAUACUGCCCUGUGUGUGACCAGCGUCAGCAGUUCUGACUACUCCACUACUGCCACUUGUGGUCUGUGGCUCUGCCACACCUCGCAGCCAGGUGCCAACCCAUCUGGAUCUCUGUGCCACCCCUUAGCCUCCACAGACCCUGGGCCAGGGGCGAUCAACCUGCAAAGCCAUGCACAAGGAGCCACUGCCCAGGAUAAUCAGCCUGGCAGCUGCAGAGCUAAUGAAUUUGCCCCUGAGGCUUAACUGCAAGAAAAGUAAUUAAUCUUUCUGGGUUUCACUCAUCGUCGAGCAAACUUUCACCAAUGAAGAAAACUGCUGAGCUCUCCAGUUUGCUCCCCAAGUCAACCUCUCCCUUUUGGACUUUGUGGGUAAUUGGUACAUCAUUACCAUCCCAUUUUGUCCAAAUUCCCCAAGAGACCACAGUUAAAGGAAUGCAUAGAUGCUAGUGAGGGAAGGGGGUUUUGCGGCUCAGACUCCCACUCCUGAAGAAGUCCCAGUUUUACUUCGUGUCCUGAUUUUGGUCAGGAUGCUGACUGAGAGGAGAAAAACAAACACCCUGGAAGGGAAAGAAGAAUGUGCAAAGCAGCUGCCAGAAAGUUUCAGAGCAGCUGCACACGAGAUGUUCUCCCAGCCUUGCCACUGAAUCUGCGUGAGUCAGGGCUGAAGCCAGCUCCAGUCCACAUAUGGUCUUAGCCUCAGCCAUGGGCAAGAGAUGAAAAUACCACAGAAACAUAACAUUGGCACAAUCUCAAAUGGCUCCAGGCAUGUGACCUACCCGAGGCAUCUGUUUUAGUUUGAGAUAAACUGCGCUCUUGAGCUAUCUGUGCUAUGAGGAGCCUACGCUGGCUGGCAAAGGAGCAGCCACCGCUGCAAGAUGCCCUUUGCAGCUGAGCUGAUGGGCACCGAGAGCACUGCUGAAAGCCCCAAGUGGGUGCAGGGCUGGGGAAGGCCAGCGGGAUUGCCGGAGGAUCAUCCAGACCUUAAAUGGGCAGCAGGAUCAGAGCCGUGCAAGGAGCUGCCCGCUGUGUAUAUAGCUCAGGCCCUGGCUGUAACCCAGUCCUGUCAGCAGCACUGCUGCUGCUCUGGCUGAGCGUGCAGCUGGGGCUGCUAAUGGGAGUCACCGUCUGAGGCCUGGUCUGAGCCUUUUGGUUGCCUUUCAACCCGCUCAUUGCGGGCAUUUUCUCACGUAGGUUCUCACAGCCUUGAAGCUCCUGCUUGCAGACAGGCCGAAGGGGACAAGCGCAGCAGGGAUGGAAAAUGAGAUGUGGCCCAAGCCGUGUCGUGGGGUUAUUAGCACCGCGCUGUCAGUUUAACAUGAGCUCCCUUGUUU
ensembl:lncRNA